GAUGAAGAACGUAGCGAAAUGCGAUAAGUAAUGUGAAUUGCAGAAUUCAGUGAAUCAUCGAAUCUUUGAACGCACAUUGCGCCCGCCAGUAUUCUGGCGGGCAUGCCUGUUCGAGCGUCAUUUCAACCAUCAAGCCCCCGGCUUGUGUUGGGGACCUGCGGCUGCCGCAGGCCCUGAAAUGCAGUGGCGGGCUCGCUGUCACUCCGAGCGUAGUAGUUACAUCUCGCUCUGGGCGUGCUGCGGGUUCCGGCCGUUAAAAGCCUUAUUUACCCAAGGUUGACCUCGGGUCAGGUAGGAAGACCCGCUGAACUUAAGCAUAUCAAUAAGCGGAGGA
rnacentral:misc_RNA from 1 species